rnacentral:rRNA from 1 species
CUUGGUCAUUUAGAGGAAGUAAAAGUUGUAACAAGGUUUCCGUAGGUGAACCUGCGGAAGGAUCAUUAACAAAUCCAAUGCUUGUGGGGUGACUUUUAUUAGUCAUCUUGCAAAUAUUAAUCCGCUGGCCUCGCAAGGGGCUGGUCGAUAGAUAACAUAAAUGUGUGUAGUGUUGACAGUGUGUGAUAUUUAAUUAAUUAUUGACAACUUUUAACAAUGGAUCUCUAGGCUCUUGCAUCGAUGAAGAACGCAGCAAAAUGCGAAACGUGAUGCGAUUUGCAUGAAUCUGUGAGUCAUCUAAUCUUUGAACGCGAAUGGCACUGUUACGUAAGUAGCAGUAUGUCUGUUUGAGAAUCGCAAACACGAUCAACUCUAGUUAGAGUUGGCAUUGACCUCAUGUGCUGUCAAGGUGCAUUUGGUUUGAAUGGAUCAAGUUGAUGGGCUUCCCAGCGAUGCUCGAUGUGUGCUAGCGAGACAGUCGUCCCGAUCUCACAUUAUUGUUUCGUUGCAGAGCUCUAAUCACAGCUUGUUAACUAUCAUAUCUAUUACGAUCUCAAAUCAGGCAAGAUUACCCGCUGAACUUAAGCAUAUCAAUAAGCGGAGGA